rnacentral:rRNA from 1 species
UACGAGGGGGGCAAGCGUUGUUCGGAAUUAUUGGGCGUAAAGGGUGCGUAGGCGGUUUGGUAAGUCUUAUGUGAAAUCUACAGGCUCAACUUGUAGUCUGCAUGAGAAACUGCCGGGCUUGAGUAUGGGAGAGGUGAGUGGAAUUCCUGGUGUAGCGGUGAAAUGCGUAGAUAUCAGGAGGAACACCUGUGGCGAAAGCGGCUCACUGGACCACAACUGACGCUGAUGCACGAAAGCUAGGGGAGCAAACAGG